UCUUAUGGAUGAGCAAAGAUAGUGGUUUUUUGAGAUGGAAUCUACUGGUGAAGAUGCUAUGAA
rnacentral:pre_miRNA from 1 species